UAUUACAAUGAAGAGUUUGAUCCUGGCUCAGGAUGAACGCUAGCUACAGGCUUAACACAUGCAAGUCGAGGGGCAGCAUGGUCUUAGCUUGCUAAGGCCGAUGGCGACCGGCGCACGGGUGAGUAACACGUAUCCAACCUGCCGUCUACUCUUGGACAGCCUUCUGAAAGGAAGAUUAAUACAAGAUGGCAUCAUGAGUCCACAUGUUCACAUGAUUAAAGGUAUUCCGGUAGACGAUGGGGAUGCGUUCCAUUAGAUAGUAGGCGGGGUAACGGCCCACCUAGUCUUCGAUGGAUAGGGGUUCUGAGAGGAAGGUCCCCCACAUUGGAACUGAGACACGGUCCAAACUCCUACGGGAGGCAGCAGUGAGGAAUAUUGGUCAAUGGGCGAGAGCCUGAACCAGCCAAGUAGCGUGAAGGAUGACUGCCCUAUGGGUUGUAAACUUCUUUUAUAAAGGAAUAAAGUCGGGUAUGCAUACCCGUUUGCAUGUACUUUAUGAAUAAGGAUCGGCUAACUCCGUGCCAGCAGCCGCGGUAAUACGGAGGAUCCGAGCGUUAUCCGGAUUUAUUGGGUUUAAAGGGAGCGUAGAUGGAUGUUUAAGUCAGUUGUGAAAGUUUGCGGCUCAACCGUAAAAUUGCAGUUGAUACUGGAUAUCUUGAGUGCAGUUGAGGCAGGCGGAAUUCGUGGUGUAGCGGUGAAAUGCUUAGAUAUCACGAAGAACUCCGAUUGCGAAGGCAGCCUGCUAAGCUGCAACUGACAUUGAGGCUCGAAAGUGUGGGUAUCAAACAGGAUUAGAUACCCUGGUAGUCCACACGGUAAACGAUGAAUACUCGCUGUUUGCGAUAUACUGCAAGCGGCCAAGCGAAAGCGUUAAGUAUUCCACCUGGGGAGUACGCCGGCAACGGUGAAACUCAAAGGAAUUGACGGGGGCCCGCACAAGCGGAGGAACAUGUGGUUUAAUUCGAUGAUACGCGAGGAACCUUACCCGGGCUUAAAUUGCAGAUGAAUUACGGUGAAAACCGUAAGCCGCAAGGCAUCUGUGAAGGUGCUGCAUGGUUGUCGUCAGCUCGUGCCGUGAGGUGUCGGCUUAAGUGCCAUAACGAGCGCAACCCUUGUUGUCAGUUACUAACAGGUUCCGCUGAGGACUCUGACAAGACUGCCAUCGUAAGAUGUGAGGAAGGUGGGGAUGACGUCAAAUCAGCACGGCCCUUACGUCCGGGGCUACACACGUGUUACAAUGGGGGGUACAGAGGGCCGCUACCACGCGAGUGGAUGCCAAUCCCAAAAACCUCUCUCAGUUCGGACUGGAGUCUGCAACCCGACUCCACGAAGCUGGAUUCGCUAGUAAUCGCGCAUCAGCCACGGCGCGGUGAAUACGUUCCCGGGCCUUGUACACACCGCCCGUCAAGCCAUGGGAGCCGGGGGUACCUGAAGUGCGUAACCGCGAGGAGCGCCCUAGGGUAAAACUGGUGACUGGGGCUAAGUCGUAACAAGGUAGCCGUACCGGAAGGUGCGGCUGGAACACCUCCUUU
rnacentral:rRNA from 1 species